rnacentral:tRNA from 2 species
UGUUGGGUAGUUUAACAAAAAAAUUUAGAACUGCAAACUCUUCGAUGGGCAACGUCCCCUCCAACAU